rnacentral:rRNA from 1 species
UACAGAGGAUGCAAGCGUUAUCCGGAUUUACUGGGCGUAAAGCGCACGUAGGCGGCUCUUUAAGUCAGAGGUGAAAUCCCAAGGCUCAACCUUGGAACUGCCUUUGAUACUGGGGAUCUUGAGUCCGGGAGAGGUGAGUGGAACUGCGAGUGUAGAGGUGAAAUUCGUAGAUAUUCGCAAGAACACCAGUGGCGAAGGCGGCUCACUGGCCCGGUACUGACGCUGAGGUGCGAAAGCGUGGGGAGCAAACAGG